AACGAACGCUGGCGGCAGGCUUAACACAUGCAAGUCGAGCGCCCCGCAAGGGGAGCGGCAGACGGGUGAGUAACACGUGGGAAUCUACCCAUCCCUACGGAACAACUCCGGGAAACUGGAGCUAAUACCGUAUACGCCCUUUUGGGGAAAGAUUUAUCGGGGAUGGAUGAGCCCGCGUCGGAUUAGCUAGUUGGUGGGGUAAAGGCCUACCAAGGCGACGAUCCGUAGCUGGUCUGAGAGGAUGAUCAGCCACACUGGGACUGAGACACGGCCCAGACUCCUACGGGAGGCAGCAGUGGGGAAUAUUGGACAAUGGGCGCAAGCCUGAUCCAGCCAUGCCGCGUGAGUGAUGGAGGCCUUAGGGUUGUAAAGCUCUUUCACCGGAGAAGAUAAUGACGGUAUCCGGAGAAGAAGCCCCGGCUAACUUCGUGCCAGCAGCCGCCGUAAGAC
rnacentral:rRNA from 1 species